AUUCUCCUGCCUCAGCUUCCUGAGUAGCUGGACUACAGGCUCCCGCCACCAUGCCCGGCUAAUUUUUUUGUAUUUUUAGUAGAGACGGGGUUUCAUCGUGUUAGCCGGGAUGGUCGGUCUCGAUCUCCUGACCUCGUGAUCCGCCCGCCUCGGCCUCCCGAAGUGCUGGGAUUACAGGCGUGAGUCACCGCGCCCGGCCAUUCUUCUUGUUUUCAAAUGUGUAUUUAACCUUGUUUUCAAAUGUAUGUUUGCAAAUGCAAGUUAUCAGUUUCCUCUCCUGGAUUUUUCUUUUUAAUUUUUGGUGCCAGCACAGGACCUCUCUGUGAUACCUGUGUAUCACAAAGCAAUUCUUGGAAGGCUGUGUGUGGAAUAGCGGGUCUCGGGUAUUCACAGUUGCUUAAGAUACAUGAGAAAGCCUAAAUGUAGUUCCAGUGGCUAGAAUUCCAAGAUCAAGGUGUCAGCAGCAUGGUUCUUUCUGAGAGCUGUGAAGAAGAAUCCGUUCCAUGCCUCUCCCCCAGUUUCUGGUGGUGUGCUGGCAGUCUUUGGCAUUCUUUGGCCUGCAGACGCAUCACCCUAAUCUCAGCCCAGCUCCGGAACGCCUUUCCCAUGUUUGGUGUGUUUUCUACCUAAUGAGUUUUGAUGGAAGUGAAGGCUGUUAUUUACCUCUGGAAGCUAAAAAUACCAGCUCCCUGGUCAUCUCAGAGUUGGUUUCCGAUGCAACUAAAAACAUCAACUGAUAUGAGGUCCAAAAGAUGGAAUUUUAAGCACCAAAGACGCUCCCUUAUGGGCAAAGUCUCAAUAGGACAUCUGCAUGUUCAGUUGAGAUUCUGCUUUCCCCUCAGAUGACAGAAUUAUUGGCAACCAGUUAAAUUGACGCAAUUGGAAACCCAGAAACAUGAUCAACAAAGAUAAGGAGAUGGAGAUACCAGUCACCCCUAUCAAAGUGGCAAGUGGGAGGGGGAUGCUGGUUGGUCUGUCGGAGCUGACGAAGGAAUGGGAUUGGAAUGUUUCUUUUACCAAUUAUGUAAACACAGCCUGGAGUUCCGAGAUGAGUCCAUCUCACUUGCUCAGAACUUUGCCUGGUGAGAGCGGUUACAAGCGAACAAGGUGGAAAUGAAAGAAACCCUGACUUUCCCACUAGGAAGGAAGAGACUGUUCCUUCUUGUGAUGUACUCUGAAGAAAAAUUCUAGGAUUUGGACAGAUUUCUUGGGUUAUAAAACAUGAUUUUCUUCUCUGUUUCUUGGGCUUUUAUAAUGGGUACUGUUGUUUUCUUGCAAAGCUUUAAUGAUUCCAUAAGGACUUGUAUAAAGUUUAUGGGAGAAUUUUCAAUGUAGAUGUGAAUGGCAGAAACCCAAGAAUCUGUGUGAGGUUGAAUAAGAUCCUGUGUCUCCAGAGAGGUCUGAUGGGGAGACACAGAUCUAAAUUUUAAAGGUGGUUUGGGCCUUCUCAAUCAUAUAUUAAGGUCCUUUUAUGUUAUAGAUAAGUAAAUUAAGGCCCAGAAAGAUUAAUAGCCCAAGGUCCCAAGACCUGCUUGAGACCUGUGCCCCAUUUCUGACUAAUAUUCUUCAUGAUAUUGUAUCACUCUGUAUCAAAACCAACCAACCAAUAAAACCAACCAACCAACCAACCAACAGAAAA
ensembl:lncRNA LINC01992 long intergenic non-protein coding RNA 1992